GAUGAACGCUGGCGGCGUGCCUAAUACAUGCAAGUCGAGCGAACGGACGAGAAGCUUGCUUCUCUGAUGUUAGCGGCGGACGGGUGAGUAACACGUGGAUAACCUACCUAUAAGACUGGGAUAACUUCGGGAAACCGGAGCUAAUACCGGAUGAUAUUUUGAACCGCAUGGUUCAAAAGUGAAAGACGGUCUUGCUGUCACUUAUAGAUGGAUCCGCGCUGCAUUAGCUAGUUGGUAAGGUAACGGCUUACCAAGGCAACGAUGCAUAGCCGACCUGAGAGGGUGAUCGGCCACCCUGGAACUGAGACACGGUCCAGACUCCUAAGGGAGGCAGCAGUAGGGAAUCUUCCGCAAUGGGCGAAAGCAUGACGGAGCAACGCCGCGUGAGUGAUGAAGGUCUUCGGAGCGUAAAACUCUGUUAUUAGGGAAGAACAUAUGUGUAAGUAACUGUGCACAUCUUGACGGUACCUAAUCAGAAAGCCACGGCUAACUACGUG
rnacentral:rRNA from 1 species